GGGCCUUUCGGGAAUAUUCGAUAAAACUGGAACAAUACGGAAAAAAUUAGCUUGCCUCUGUGAGGAUGACACACACAAAUCGAGAGGAAAGUUAGCUUUAU